rfam:Gallaecimonas xiamenensis 3-C-1 contig21, whole genome shotgun sequence.
CAGCAUGUGGGGGCUGCAACCCAAGGGCGGUAGCGUU